UGCGUAGGUGGAAUAGUAAGUCAGUGGUGAAAUCUCUCGGCUCAACCGAGAAACUGCCGUUGAUACUGUUAUUCUUGAGUUUAGUUGAAGUGGGCGGAAUGUGUCAUGUAGCGGUGAAAUGCAUAGAUAUGACACAGAACACCGAUAGCGAAGGCAGCUCACUAAGCUAAUACUGACACUAAUGCACGAAAGCGUGGGUAGCGAACAGGAUUAGAUACCCUGGUAGUCC
rnacentral:rRNA from 1 species